UGGGGUGUGGCUCAGAGGCAGAGCGCUCGCCUACCAUGCAUGAGGCACUGGGUUCGAUCCUCAGCACCACAU
rfam:Ictidomys tridecemlineatus contig075480, whole genome shotgun sequence.